rfam:Octopus bimaculoides Scaffold53822_contig_110, whole genome shotgun sequence.
GGCAGUUUAGCUUAAUGGUAAAGCAUUUGACGCGUAAUCGCAGGGAUGUGAGUUCGAGUCUCAUGGAUGGCCG